rnacentral:rRNA from 1 species
GGCUCAGAUUGAACGCUGGCGGCAUGCCUUACACAUGCAAGUCGAACGGCAGCACGGGGCAACCUGGUGGCGAGUGGCGAACGGGUGAGUAAUGCAUCGGAACGUGCCAUUGAGUGGGGAUAACGUAGCGAAAGUUGCGCUAAUACCGCAUAUUCUGUGAGCAGGAAAGCAGGGGACCGCAAGGCCUUGCGCUCUUUGAGCGGCCGAUGUCAGAUUAGCUAGUUGGUGAGGUAACGGCUUACCAAGGCGACGAUCUGUAGCGGGUCUGAGAGGAUGAUCCGCCACACUGGAACUGAGACACGGUCCAGACUCCUACGGGAGGCAGCAGUGGGGAAUUUUGGACAAUGGGCGCAAGCCUGAUCCAGCCAUGCCGCGUGAGUGAAGAAGGCCUUCGGGUUGUAAAGCUCUUUCGGCCGGGAAGAAAUCGCAUGGGUUAAUACCCUGUGUGGAUGACGGUACCGGAAUAAGAAGCACCGGCUAACUACGUG